UACCAUGCAGUCGAGCGGCAGCACGGACUUCGGUCUGGUGGCGAGUGGCGAACGGGUGAGUAAUGUAUCGGAACGUGCCCAGUAGCGGGGGAUAACUACGCGAAAGCGUAGCUAAUACCGCAUACGCCCUACGGGGGAAAGCAGGGGAUCGCAAGACCUUGCACUAUUGGAGCGGCCGAUAUCGGAUUAGCUAGUUGGUGGGGUAACGGCUCACCAAGGCGACGAUCCGUAGCUGGUUUGAGAGGACGACCAGCCACACUGGGACUGAGACACGGCCCACACUCCUACGGGAGGCAGCAGUGGGGAAUUUUGGACAAUG
rnacentral:rRNA from 1 species